rnacentral:rRNA from 1 species
GACGAACGCUGGCGGCGUGCUUAACACAUGCAAGUCGAACGGAAAGGCCUGCUUUCCCUUGUGGAUUGCGGGUACUCGAGUGGCGAACGGGUGAGUAACACGUGAGUGAUCUGCCCCCAACUUGGGUAUAAGCCUGGGAAACUGGGUCUAAUUCCCGAUAGGACUGCAGGGUGGUGCCUGUGGUGGAAAACGAUUUUCUAGUGGGUGGGGAUGAGCUCGCGGCCUAUCAGCUUGUUGGUGGGGUAAAGGCCUACCAAGGCGGCGACGGGUAGCCGGCCGGAGAGGGUGGACGGCCACAUUGGGACUGGGAUACGGCCCAGACUCCUACGGGAGGCAGCAGUGGGGAAUAAUGCACAAUGGGCGGGAGCCUGAUGCAGCGACGCCGCGUGGGGGAUGACGGCCUUCGGGUGGUAAACUCCUUUCGACCGAGAGGAAGCCACCUGGUUGGAAGGGUGGUGACGGUAGUGGUAGAAGAAGCACCGGCUAACUACGUG